GACGAACGCUGGCGGCGUGCUUAACACAUGCAAGUCGAGCGGUAAGGCCCUUUCGGGGGUACGACGAGCGGCGAACGGGUGAGUAACACGUGGGUGACCUGCCCUCAGCUCUGGGAUAAGCCUGGGAAACCGGGUCUAAUACUGGAUAUGACUCCAUGACGCAUGUUGUGGGGUGGAAAGCCUUGUGCGGCUGAGGAUGGGCCCGCGGCCUAUCAGCUUGUUGGUGGGGUGAUGGCCUACCAAGGCGACGACGGGUAGCCGGCCUGAGAGGGCGACCGGCCACACUGGGACUGAGACACGGCCCAGACUCCUACGGGAGGCAGCAGUGGGGAAUCUUGCGCAAUGGGCGAAAGCCUGACGCAGCGACGCCGCGUGAGGGAUGACGGCCUGUGUAAC
rnacentral:rRNA from 1 species